rnacentral:rRNA from 1 species
GACGGAGGUGGCAAGCGUUAUUCGGAUUUAUUGGGCGUAAAGGGCGCGUAGGCGGUUUGGUAAGUCUGAUGUGAAAUCUCCAUCGCUCAACGAGGAAAUUGCAUCGGAUACUGCCAAUCUUGAGUAUGGAAGAGGUAAGUGGAAUUCCUGGUGUAGCGGUGGAAUGCGUAGAUAUCAGGAGGAACACCGGUGGCGAAGGCGGCUUACUGGUCCAUAACUGACGCUGAGGCGCGAAAGCGUGGGGA